UAGGGAAUAUUGGUAAUGUGCGAAAGCGCGAACCAGCAACGCCGCGUGCACGAUGAAGGCCUUCGGGUUGUAAAGUGCUUUUUAGAGGGAUGAGGAAGGACAGUACUUCCAGAAUAAGUCUCGGCUAACUACGUGCCAGCAGCCGCGGUAACACGUAGGAGGCGAACGUUAUCCGGAUUUACUGGGCGUAAAGCGCGUGUAGGUGGUUCUGUAAGUAGGGCGUGAAAGCUCCUGGCUCAACUGGGAGAGGCCGUUCUAAACUACAGAACUAGAGGAUGGUAGAGGGAGGUGGAAUUCCGGGUGUAGCGGUGGAAUGCGCAGAUAUCCGGAGGAACACCAGUGGCGAAAGCGGCCUCCUGGACCAUUCCUGACACUCAGACGCGAAAGCUAGGGUAGCAAACG
rnacentral:rRNA from 1 species